rnacentral:lncRNA from 1 species
UAACACAUGAUUAGGGAUGUUAAAUUCACUGAUGAUAGUUUUCCAUCUCUACUCUAGACAUCCACAAAGGCACCAAAGCCUGUCAGACAGUCCUCUCUUGACCUUCCCACCACCAGCAUGAUGGUAGCCAGCACAAAAAGCCUGUGGGAGACUGGAGAAGUUGCUGCCCAAUCUGCAGUGAAGACCCCAGCCUGCAAGGAUAUCGUGGCUGGAGACAUCGUGAAUAUAAGAAGCCUUUGGGAACAGAAGGGCGGUCCCAAACCUGAGACCAAUAUCAAGUCUACUCCUUCUGGCAAGAAGUACAAGUUUGUUGCGAUGGGCCAUGGCCAGUACAAGAGGGUAUUGAUAGAUGAUGCUGCAGAGCAGUAGCAUGCCUGGAGAACCCAUUAACCAGCUGUGCUUGGUCCUGUCUCAAUGCAAUCCUCAGUGCUAUGACUUCCUCUGCUCCAUAGAAGAUAAUCGAAGGACAUUUCUCCUGUCUGAUGUCAGUUUGCUCUGGUACAGCCUGACUCCUCUUGGGGUGAGCGCACCCCACGCUGCCUCCAGCUGGCUGCGAGGGAUGGAUCAUCUGGCCAAACCAGUCCCACUUUUAACCUUCUACAAGACUCUUUGGCUCUUUUUUUCCUUUUUUUUUUUCUUUUAAUUAAAUCUGGCUCUGCCAUGGAGAUGGGAGGAUGUGGCUCACCUCCAUCUCUUCUUUUUCAAGUGCUGAAAUAGAAGGACCUGCUAUCCUGCCCAGCUGGCAGGGCUUCUGCUGUGUGAUGGAGAGCUUCUGGCUCUGGGUGGCUGGUGGGGGGAGCUCAUGAGAGUUCCAGUGGAGGAAUUGGUGUGGGAAAGGAGAGUGAUGGGCGGACUCUGUGCCACCCUCCUAGUGCCUGCUGUGUGAAGAUGUUGCACUGCAACAUCUACUUCGAGGGACCUCCAUCUCCAUGUGCACAUCAAACUGUUUUAGUUCUGUUUAUUUAGUUCCCGUAUCAUCCUUUAAUCACAACUAAGUAGCCAUGCCAUAAUGUUCUUGCCACUUUUCUGUAUUGUCAGUGGCAGUAGCUUUGUUUCAAGAAGCUGCUGCCUUCCCCUCUGCUGCCCAUGGUGGGAGUGAGCACUCCUUCUCUAGGUAAGGGGCUCCUCUUGAAGUUUUUUUUCCUACCCCCUUCUCACAAAGGCUCUCAACAUAAUUUUGCUUCUGCUUCAAUUUACAAUGUGUUCUGGAUUUAAUUUUUUUGUAAGCAUUUAAUAAAAUUUGAGGAAGAUGUUGUAACA